rnacentral:lncRNA from 1 species
GGCAAAGAAAUGGUUGCUAUAGGAAAAUCAACAGAAGUUUAACCAGUGGAUUUAACGGGUGAGUUGAGACCAAAUACAGUACUUUUUAUUACCAUACAAAGUGCAUACAUGUGCAAUGUAGUUGUUUAACAUAUUAUGGGAUUGAUUUCUUUCUAGAUGGUUCAUCCUGUGGAUCUCUGAGCAGUGAUGAUGGAGAGCAAUCAGGCUGACAGUCAAUUAAAAACUAUGAUAACAGACUGAAUGGACCACUAGUUGACAAGCACUGAAGAGAAAGUGACUUUUUGUCUUUGAAGAACUAAUGUAUCUGGAAUAUUCUAGCUGAAAUAUCAUGAAAAGGAACACAUGAUGGACUGUGGUCAGUUUUUAAAGUGCUUAUGGUGUCCAUUUAUCUAAUAACACUACUUAAGCAACCACUUCUUGAUCAGCUACUGCUUUAACUGAAUGGCUAUUGUUUUUCUGUCAUUGGUUCAUAGAACAGACUUUUUUGUCUUUGUAAUACUAGUAGUAUUUCAAAUGUUAACUUUUACAAGGGAUAUCUUUGAAAUGUACACAUCAUUCUCACAAUGUCAUGUUGAAUCUCUUGAUGACCUCAUAUUCCCAUGAAAUGUCAAAUAUGGGUUCAUAUUGUUUUCUUCAAAUUACACACAUUUAACACGGUUUAUAAUGUACCGGUACACAUGUCAAAUUCAAACAACUGACUAUAGAAACACUCGUUCCCAUCAGUAUUCUCUGCGGGCUCAGGACAACUUGUCAGUGGCACUCUGACAUGAUUUCCUGCCCAGAUUUAUAGAUCAAUUAGGGAUCAACUAUUGAUAUUUGAAUAUGGGGUGGCCAGUCCUGAUUAAUUUAAGGGGUUCAUCUGGCAUUCUCAACUCAUCAGAAACCAGUGUCUUCUGACUUCUCCAGUUCAGUUGUUCUAAUAGUCAACAUGUUAUUUUACAAUUUUCAUUACAAACCAUGUACAUUAUUGAGAUCUUUCUUUUCUGUGAAAACUGAAUGAGCAAUUUUGCUUAGGACUAGGUUCUAUAAGAACUGCGGUAAACAACAUCCGCAUAGCGGUUGUUUUGGCGAUGAGUUCAGAUUUUUGUGGCCCCCACUCCCAUCAAAGUUGCCCAUCCCUGUUCUAGGCUAUAAAUACCCCCAUCCAAAUGAACAUGAAAACAUGCAUUAGCCUGUCAUUACUUCUAUCAUCGAUAGAGCCUACACUUUCUAUCGCCGUUUUGAACACACGAGCAGCCACUCUCCAAUUUGUCAACUCACACGGCAGUUACGGCCAACGCGGGUUAACUCUUGAUCUGACUGAAUCACAGCCUAUCUUUUUAAUAUGUCAAUAGGGCUGUCUUGACCAUUCUUCCUGCCCUGACCUCGAGACUGUCUAAUGCCCUGUACUGUUUGGACUCUGACCUGGUUUAUGGACUCUCGCCUGUACCCGACCUGCCUUUUGCCUACCACUUGUGUUAUAAUAAAUAUCGGAGCUCAACCAUCUGCC